GAACGCUGGCGGCGUGCUUAACACAUGCAAGUCGAACGGUGAAGCGCCUUCCUUUUUGGUGGGUGUGGAUGAGUGGCGAACGGGUGAGUAACACGUGAGUAACCUGCCCCCUUCUUCUGGAUAACCGCAUGAAAGUGUGGCUAAUACGGGAUAUUCUGGGUCUGUCGCAUGAUGGGUCUGGGAAAGAUAUUGUUUCGGUGGGGGAUGGGCUCGCGGCCUAUCAGCUUGUUGGUGGGGUGAUGGCCUACCAAGGCGGUGACGGGUAGCCGGCCUGAGAGGGUGGACGGUCACACUGGGACUGAGACACGGCCCAGACUCCUACGAGAGGCAGCAGUGGGGAAUAUUGCACAAUGGGCGCAAGCCUGAUGCAGCGACGCCGCGUGAGGGAUGGAGGCCUUCGGGUUGUGAACCUCUUUCGCCAGUGAAGCAGGCCUGCCUCGUUUGUGGGUGGGUUGACGGUAGCUGGAUAAGAAGCGCCGGCUAACUACGUG
rnacentral:rRNA from 1 species